rnacentral:antisense_RNA from 1 species
CUUCACGGUGCCGACGAGCAGUGGCCGCCGGGAGUCCCGGUCCUUGCCGUAGGUGGCCAGCAGCGCCUGGGCCUC